UACGUAGGUCGCAAGCGUUGUCCGGAUUUACUGGGCGUAAAGAGCGCGCAGGCGGCUGGUCAAGUCCGAUGUGAAAUCUCCCGGCUCAACUGGGAAACUGCAUCGGAAACUGAUCGGCUUGAAGAUGGGAGAGGGUAGUGGAAUUCCAGGUGUAGCGGUGAAAUGCGUAGAUAUCUGGAGGAACACCGGUGGCGAAGGCGGCAUCCUGGACCGGCAUUGACGCUGAGGCGCGAAAGCCAGGGGAGCAAAGCGGG
rnacentral:rRNA from 1 species